rnacentral:rRNA from 1 species
UACAGAGACUGCAAGCGUUAUUCGGAUUCACUGGGCGUAAAGGGUGCGCAGGCGGCCGUGUGUGUGAGGCGUGAAAGCCCGGGGCUUAACCCCGGAAUUGCACCUCAAACUACUUGGCUAGAGCAUUGGAGAGGGUAGCGGAAUUCACGGUGUAGCAGUGAAAUGCGUAGAUAUCGUGAGGAACACCAGAGGCGAAGGCGGCUACCUGGACAAUUGCUGACGCUCAGGCACGAAAGCGUGGGGAGCAAAAGGG